CUACUCCAGUCAUACACGUGGAGCUAACUGCACCACUAGCUUUUCAGAGGAUACUUGCUGAAAAGGAAGUUUAAUGGAAUGGUAUUCGCUAAGUGGAAGCCAGAAGAAGAGGAAAAUGUUUUGCCACGUGGAUGUGAAGACUUCCUCUAAAAGGCAAACCUAACUACAAGCCAGACUUGGGUUUUCUCCUGUAGUUUGAAGACACACUGACUCCUGACAAAAUGCAACCUGCAACUUCUGGAGAACAACUCAGUGUCACAUUAAAGUUUAUUAUGUAUUUGAUGAUACACUGUUGAAUUGACACUUCUGCAUAGUUUGUCUAGCUGUAGAGAAUUAAGAGUCUCAACUGAGCAGUAAAGGUAAGGAGAGCUUAAUAUACACAGAGCCAGGCUUUGAUGUUUGAUGAAAUAAGAUCAUCAUGCCCACUUGAGAUUUCAGAUUAUUCUUUAGCUUAGUGGUUGUAUGAGUUACAUUCUUACUAAAGUCAAAAUUAAUGUAGUUUUCUGCCUUGAUAAAUUAAAUUCCAUAUGUGGUAUUUUAAAGGGUCAUUAGGCAAAUGCACAUAUUCUAUAAAUAAGACCCAUAGAAAAGUUGAAGAAUGCUUAAUUUAUCCAAUAAUGUAAACACAGACACAACAUUGAGAUGUGCCUAAUUCUGUAUUUACAGUUUGGUCUGGCUGUUGUAGUGCAUUUAAUGUUAAUAAAUAAAAUACUGCAUUUUAAAGCUGUUAAGAAAUUGUCUGGAACGAGCAUAUUGAAAUAAAAACUUCAAGGUUAUUAUC